GAGAGAUGGAGUUUGUUGGUUGUGCUGUGAAGAAGUAGGCAGUGCUGUGAGGAGCUGCACAUGAGAUGUCACUGAGAAGGCAGAGUGCUGCCAGCCUGGACAGCCCUGGAUUGCCCCUUCCUCUGAGGGAAAUGACAGACAUCUCCUCACCAGCUCAUGUAACAUUACCGAGCCCCUCACCACAGGAAACUGAGCUCCUACCAACAAGCCACAGAACAUCUUCCCCUACAGAGGAGAGAAAAUCCAAUCAAUGUGUGCAGCUAAUUGAGACAAAUGAGCAAGAGUCCAGGCCUGGCAGCAAGAAACCAGAGGGAUGACUUGGAGACAGAUGGGGAAGGAUUUGGCACAGAUGGCUCUGAUCCAGUUCCUGAAGGACCUGCAGGAGAACCUCUCCCAGUGCAGUGCUGAACAAAUUCCAGACGCAGGAAGCUGGGCCAGGAUAACCCUAUAAAACCACAGUGUUGUUCCAGCUCUAUUGCCCCAGCUGAAACACAUCUGUUCUCCAUCCUUGCUCUGCUCUAGGGAUGACUUGAAAGAGGAAACCUGGUAAAACCUCUUUUUUCAAGGAAAAUUAUCAUAAGUAACCCUAGGAAGGAGAAACAAGGGGAAAAGUCUCUCAGCAAGAAAAAGGGCUUUCUGAGGACAGUCAGAAACCCUCACUGAAGGAUUUUUUCACAACAUCAGUUUUCUAAAAUCACUUCUACACCUUUGAAACAUGUCUAUGCAAAAGAGGUUUUGGUGGUUUUUUACUACAUAUUUCAAUGAAAUUUUUGACUACAUAUUUCAACUGAAAAUAUUUUAUCACAGAGCAUAAAUGGUAUGUCACUAUCAAAAGUACUAAAGAGAUAAAAUCACAGUACUGAGCUACAUGAAAUACAAACACUAGCAUAGGGUAACUACAAGGUUACCCCCUCCCAGCUCAACCUAGUGAAACAAUUAAAACAUCCAAUUAUGUAGCAUGGAGUUAUCUAGUUCUCAAUUCUCAUUAGAAAUAAUUAGGUGUGUUAAUUUGAUUUAAUUUUUUUCAUCAUACAGAAAAAGUCCAGGCUGAUGUCUGAUAAUCUGGUAUUGCCAUUCACAACUGAGAUUUAAGUAACCUCAAAAGAGAUAAGGUUCUUCAUUAUAAUAAUGAAGCUGUAAUUAACAUCAGGCACCUGUUGAAGUCAUGCUUCCAAUAGCUUUUUGGUUGGGUUUUUUUUUUUUUGGGGCACAAUUUUUGAUGAACUAAAAACAGUUGAAAAAUUUAAUUUUUAAGAUUUAUUAUGCAGAACUGUACAAGUUAGUCUUUACUACUAAACCUGA